GUUUCCCUAACGGGAUCCUGGUGCCCCAUGCCCGGGCRGGUGAGAAAAUUGCAUCAGAGCUGAUGACAAGUUAAGGAUACGCUGGCUCCAGAAGUGGCAGCCUCAAAGAGGCAGGUGCUGAAUCCAGGAGCUGCAGCCGUUGCCAGGACCCUUGGAGCACCAGCUGUAACCUGGUGUGGCACAUUGUGCAUCCUCUGCCUCGCUUGGAUGCACUGGGAUUUCGGGAUCACCGGCUCGGCUUCCCUGCAGCGAUGGAGCCGCCGGAUCAGAUGCGGUGCCCGGAGCCCUGCACGCGGAGACGCCGCAUCAUCGGCAAGGGAAGGGACGACGGCUUCGAUUCCCUGCGUGCGGCCUCUCCGAUGGCUUUAUCAAGGGAGUAGAAGUUCCUGCAGCUCGUUGAACCCUAUGCUUUAUCCRUGCAUUUAAAUCAAUCCUCUAUGCUGCAUUUCAUCCCUUCUCCCUGAGCUUUCUCUGUUAGACCUGAGCCAUAAUCACAGUGUUUUGGAGCAAGCGAGAUGCUGUGGGUGGUUAUUGCAGCAGCUCUGCYGUGGCCCCUCCU